ACGCCGCGUGAGUGAUGAAGGCCUUCGGGUUGUAAAGCUCUGUCUUUGGGGACGAUAAUGACGGUACCCAAGGAGGAAGCCACGGCUAACUACGUGCCAGCAGCCGCGGUAAUACGUAGGUGGCAAGCGUUGUCCGGAUUUACUGGGCGUAAAGGAUGCGUAGGUGGAUAUGCAAGUCAGAUGUGAAAUACCCGAGCUUAACUUGGGUGCUGCAUUUGAAACUGGGUGUCUAGAGUGCAGGAGAGGUAAGUGGAAUUCCUAGUGUAGCGGUGAAAUGCGUAGAGAUUAGGAAGAACACCAGUGGCGAAGGCGACUUACUGGACUGUAACUGACGCUGAGGCAUGAAAGCGUGGGGAGCAAACAGGAUUAGAUACCCUGGUAGUCCACGCCGUAAACGAUGGGUACUAGGUGUAGGGGGUAUCGACUCCCUCUGUGCCGCAGUUA
rnacentral:rRNA from 1 species